UACGUAGGGCAGCAAGCGUUGUUUCGGAGUUACUGGGCGUAAAGGGUGUGUAGGCGGUUGUUUAAGUUUGGUGUGAAAUCUCCCGGCUCGAACCCGGGGAGGGUCGCCGAAUACUGAGUGACUAGAGUGCGGGGAGAGGGAAAGGUGGAAUUCCUGGGUGUAGCGGUGAAAGUGCGUAGAUAUCAGGAGGAACACCGGUGGUGUAGACGGCUUUCCUGGACCGGUAACUGACGC
rnacentral:rRNA from 1 species